UGAUGACCAAAAGAUAGAAGAAUUUUCUAAGGAAUUCAUGUUAGAGCAAUAUGGCUUCAGUUUGAAGAGAGACCAGCUUAGUAAAGAAAGCAUACAUUUUCUAGAUCUCCAAAUACAUAUGAAGGAAGGAAGGAUUAGUACUAGCAUCUAUAGGAAGCUGACAUAUAGAGCGAUCUUGAUACCAAGUUGGUCGAAUGACCCGAUAGGCUAUAAAAGGGCAGCUUUCAGGAAUUUCUAUAAAUGAGCAUUAACAUAUUGUAGUGAGAUUAAGGACCAGAAGGAAGAGCUAAAGUAUAUAAUGGAAAUAGGUAAACAACAUGGUUAUGAUAGACCUUUUCUCAUGCAAAUAUUUAGGCAGGUUAAGGGAAAUCUGUGUAGAGAAGAAAAGGAUAACAGAGAGAAGAGGGAUUUCUUGCCAAUUCCCUACAACCUUAAAAACCUCAGGGUUGUUCAGAAAUUAGUAGAAAAAAGUAAAAAAACAGAUAGCACCAGAGAGGAAUCCUACGGUGUUUAAUGUUCUAAGAAAUGAAAAAGACCUGCUAGAGCAAUAUGAGAGAAGAGGUGUGUAUCAAGUGCCCAUAACUGACAACAAUACGAAAGAAAGAUCGGCAUAUAUUGGGGUUACUUCAAGGAUAACAGAAAAAGGGAUCGAGGAGCACAAGAGAGGAACAAGACAAGCGAAACUUAACACAUCGCUGGCCCUAGAAGCUUGUAGUAAAGACAUCAGUAUAGAGUGGAAGGAUGUUAAGCGGAUUAAACCUGUGCCGAACUGCAUGCAGCCAAUUGUGACUGAGUCUAUAGAGAUAUUAAAAAGGUUAGGAAAAGAAAAGCUAGUUAAUGACAGAGUAUCCUGGGAGCUCCCCAGCUUGGAGAUACAUUAUAGAUGACUAUAAGGAGGAAAAUAGCAGGAAAAUGGUUAAUAGGACAGUGCAAGACGAAGGAGAUUGAAGAGGGAUAUGAAAUGGAAUGAAUGUUGGUGGGACUUUAAUAUGAACAUUUAUGUAUAUGUUAAGGAAAUUUUGAUAUGGUGAUUAAUUCUAGUUGAUUUUGGAAUAUAGAAUUUUGAAAUAUAUGAACAUUAAGAAUGUUUUGGAUUACAUAAUGUUUUAUAGUUAAAAAUGUUAAAGUUGCUAUGGUAAUGCUAUUUAGAAUAUUGUUCCGUUUCUGUAGAUUGUUAUGAUCCUGAAGAGGAUGUAAAACAUAGAAAACGUUUGUAUGUAUAAGGAAAUAAACUUUGUGAUUAAUACUGUACUGCAAAAAGUGCUGUAGUUCCUUGGUUUGUGAUUAAUAGUUUUUCCAGUAUAAUAGCAGGAACUGAUUUGCACAGAUCUUUCUGUACCACAAAAAUAAUCUACCACAAGAUGUUGAACAAAUCUAUAGCUUGAUUAAAUAUAAUAUCAACUAGGUUAGCAAUAUCAUAUAAAAUUAUUUUUCAGUCCUGUUUAAUCAUUUCAUCGAUAGCCAAAGCCAUGUUGAUGUCUGUUGUUGAUGAACUUGAACAUCUACUAUGGUAACCUGCUACAUCAUCACUGCAGAAUGAAACACAUGAUAUCAUUUUCCAAAUGUGUCUUGGACAUAAUUUUUCAUAAAUUUCAAUGAGCUGACAAUGAAACUGCUGUCAUGUUCUUAGCCCAUGAAAAUUAUAUUACCCUCUCAUUUCAACCAGAAACCAUGUUUCCAAAUAUCUUACCAUUUUGAAUUAUUAUUAUGUAUCUAUGGCUGACAGGAAAUAAUUAAAAUAUUUAUAAACAAAACAUAUUUCCAACUUCUUUAAUGACACUUAUAUACUUAAGAGAUUGCAUGUUGAAAUUAUGGCUCUUGAAACCUUGUUUUCUAAUUCAUUUUUUAUUUUAUUCAAAAUGUGAAAUGUCUUC
rnacentral:lncRNA from 1 species